rnacentral:rRNA from 1 species
UACGUAGGGUGCAAGCGUUAAUCGGAAUUACUGGGCGUAAAGUGUGCGCAGGCGGUUUCGUAAGUCUGUCGUGAAAUCCCCGGGCUUAACCUGGGAAUGGCGAUGGAGACUGCGAGGCUAGAGUUUGGCAGAGGGGGGUAGAGUUCCACGUGUAGCAGUGAAAUGCGUAGAGAUGUGGAGGAACACCGAUGGCGAAGGCAGCCCCCUGGGUCAAAACUGACGCUCAUGCACGAAAGCGUGGGGAGCAAACAGG